UACGUAGGGUGCAAGCGUUGUCCGGAAUUAUUGGGCGUAAAGAGCUCGUAGGCGGUUUGUCGCGUCUGCUGUGAAAACUCGGGGCUUAACCCCGGGCCUGCAGUGGGUACGGGCAGACUAGAGUGCGGUAGGGGAGACUGGAAUUCCAGGUGUAGCGGUGAAAUGCGUAGAUAUCUGGAGGAACACCGGUGGCGAAGGCGGCAUCCUGGACCGGUAUUGACGCUGAUGCGCGAAAGCCAGGGGAGCAAACGGG
rnacentral:rRNA from 1 species